AAAAAUAAUUUUUCUUCUAAUUUCUUUCUUAUUUUUGCCAACUUUUGUACAUUUUUUGUGAUGGAGUUUUCUUAGUUUUCCUGAGUUUCCACGAUUUUCACCAAGUUUUUCGAAGUGCUUGUGUGUGUGCUGAAAUUAGAGAACUAGAACCAUUAAGUUUUUUUAUAACGCAAAAUUUAUCUUGACGGAU